rnacentral:rRNA from 1 species
AACGUAGGAGACAAACGUUAUCCGGAGUUACUGGGCGUAAAGGGCGUGUAGGUGGUUUUAUAAGUCUGGCGUGAAAUUUCUCGGCUUAACCGAGGCAGGUCGUCGGAUACUAUGAGACUAGAGGACGGUAGAGGCGUGUGGAAUUCCGGGUGUAGUGGUGAAAUGCGUAGAGAUCCGGAGGAACACCAGUGGCGAAGGCGACACGCUGGGCCGUACCUGACACUGAUGCGCGACAGCAUGGGGAGCAAACGGG